rnacentral:rRNA from 1 species
ACUCUUACGGGAGGCAGCAGUGGGGAAUAUUGCACAAUGGGCGCAAGCCUGAUGCAGCCAUGCCGCGUGUAUGAAGAAGGCCUUCGGGUUGUAAAGUACUUUCAGCGGGGAGGAAGGGAGUAAAGUUAAUACCUUUGCUCAUUGACGUUACCCGCAGAAGAAGCACCGGCUAACUCCGUGCCAGCAGCCGCGGUAAUA